UGAUAAUCACGUUAUCCUAGAGAUAAAUCUAGGAAUAAUGUUCUCAAAUUGCCCUUGUGAUGUUUUGGAACUUUGAAUUUAUUCGUUCUCUUAUGGUGUAAGUGUUGGCUUUAUUUGGUUAGCUCUAAAAAAAAGUGUUGGCUUUAUUAGCAUGUGAUCAUAUCAAUUGACCUUUUAUCAAAUUGAAGCAAAUGGGUGUUUAGUAUCUUUUUCAUUGGCAGGCUGCCUUCUUUCUUUUGUGAUUCAGCCCAUUAGCCAAUUAAUGCCUCUGAAGGGACACCUUGGUGGUUAAUGCUUGAAAUUUUUAUUGAGAGGGUAUAACUUUAAGAUGUGAUUGUGGUUGUCUGGGGCUGGGUGGGAGAUUGAUUUAUGGGAAUGGAAACUAAUCUAACUGAUGACGUGUAAACUUACCCAUUUAACAAUCUGAGUGUGCCCAAGCCUGUUGUUGUUAUAGACACAAAAUCACUUGAUUAACUCUGUAAAGCAUGCAAUCAUAC
rnacentral:misc_RNA from 1 species